rnacentral:pre_miRNA from 1 species
AAUUUAAGCUGAAAAGGUCAUGAACAUAAAAGUUGUAAAACUCAUCAAGACAUACAACUUUUAUUUUGGUCAUUUCUUCAUCCGACAAAGUGAUAAUAACAUUGUUCACAAAAUUUACAUCACUCAUUUGGUUUUAUAAACUAUAAGAGAGAUAUGUAAAUUUUAUGAACAAUGUUACUGUCACUUUGUCGGAUGAAUAAAUGAUAAAAAUAAAAGUUAUAGAUCUUGAUGAGUUAUACAACUUUGUUAUGGAUGACUUUUUCAGUUGAAAUC